rnacentral:misc_RNA from 1 species
UACAUGCAUUUUUUUUUGUAGAAUCUGCAUUAGCACAUACCCAUGUCAUGAUACCGCGUUCUACACGAAAUGACCUAUCUAACAUGAUUUGUUGUUGAGAAAUUGUUUGGUGCCUUGAAGAUUAGUAAACAAUUGAGAUGUAAGAAAACUGAAUUCAGAUGCAAUAAUCUAUUCUUACAAGUUACAAUAUCCAUAUCCAGAUUUUUGGCCAGAUUCUGUUCCAUAUGAAUUGAAGUAAUUCUGUCUUCUUUGAAAGUGGUUAAUAAAAGAGGCAUCCUCUUGAUUUUAUCAACGUUAGAG